UCUGAUCAUACAAUUGCUCGGUGGGCUCAGGACCCUUGUCUCUGAGCCAUUCUCCAACAGUCCAGGGACCCACUCGCAGCUUCAGUGUCUCAUUACGCUGUUGGCAAAACCUUGAGCAAUUAGAAGAUCACCUUUCCUUCUGGAAGCCUGGAUGCUCGCUUCUUGCUGAGACAACUUGGAUUUCACUUGGAACCUGUCUGGCAGGAUUUGGCUUCCAGCCUGCUUGGAGCCGGGGCCCACGGAGAUUAAUGACAUGGAAAAUGAGGAAUGCUGACCGUAAAACUCUGAAACUGUGGGAAAAAGGCAGCUUAGAGACAGCCGCUGGUGAGAAGGUGUGUGGCUUGUUUGGGGACGGUGUUAGGAGAGGCAAAGGCUCCGGUAGUUCUUUCGGGGCAACAGCCUCGUAUUUAACAAGAGCGUCUUAAAAACGGCCUGACAACCCCUCUCAUGAAGGAGCUGGAGUGCCUCGAGUACAGCAAGUCCUUUCCUUCCCCUCCUAAAGGGUGCGAUCCAGGUUUCCGCGGUUGAAAAAUGUGUUCAUGAAAAUACGGGCCAGCAUGGGAUCAGCCAGAAACGCAAGUCUCUCAUUUCCCCUCCUGCCGCUGAGAGGGCACGUCCCUGUCCUGUUCCUCAGCUCUCCUGCCUUACCCCCGCUUUACCAGAGCUGUGACAGGCAUCCUUCAUCCCUCUCUCAGGAUUUUCUGGUGGUACCAAAGCUCCGUACCGGGGACACGCUGCUUCUCCUUGGGAUGCUGAAAACCUCCACUUCGGUGCGUCUUGGCCACGCGUUCAAGGUCGAACUGGUGAUGGGACGGAGGUCCUCCUCGCAGUUUGGAUUGGCAGGGGGUGUGGGGCUAUUCGGGGUGCCUCAAGGAGCAGGAUGCAGACGGCCCGGCCGCGUUGCCUCAGCUGAGGAAAAGAGGUGCUGGUGGUUGCCGUUCCUCCUAGGUGAAGGAGUCUCUUCAGACCGGCUCCACCAGGUCUCCCAGCUGCAAGGAGGGAAAGCGAGCCAUCUCCCUGGCACAGGCCACAACACAAAGUUGCGGCUCCAAAUCACCUCUGGUGUAAAGCUGAUAGGAAAGAGUUUAGUAGGCAGGGCUGGAAGAUACCAGCCAGUAAGGGUUCCUCUAACACCAGUCACGGGAAACCAGCGCCCUUGUGAAGCCACUGCCAUUUGGCAGUCAUGACAGUCUUGCUUUUCCUUGAGAGCUAAAAGAGGAAGACUGCUGAAAUUCAGGUUCAAAAACCUCUCUGUGUCCAGACAACCUGUUUUCCCAUGGGAAGGUCCUGUGGGUAAAGUGUGCAUCCCUUCAGCGGGCCGGUACAGUUCAGUCUGAGCAGGCAGAGAGGAAACCCGUGGGUAUUACAUCUGAAAUUUUCCAUGAGCCCCUGGGUCAUAUGAAACAGGGCUACGUGAGGCCGUCUGGACCCCCUUGCACCCUGGGGUAGGGUGGGAGCUACCCUGGAUACCCGGCCUCAAGUGCCUGCCUGUGUGUGCGUGGGCUUCACCUUCUCCCAGAUUUUGACUGCCUUCCUUGCAGAACAGCAAUUCUUGGUUAUAAAACAGGGUGAUCUACAGAAAGGACCCAGGAAACCCUUAAUCAGCAGGAGGUGACAUGUUCCUCCACAGUCUGUGCCCAGAAUCAACAUUCUAAAACCUCUAGGCAGCAGGAGAGAUGCCUGUACUGCCAGCUCCUGCCAGACUUCUAGCUAAACAAAAAAAGAGAGUCCUUCAAAAGUGGUAGCUCUAGGAGCCUUUCUUCAUUACAAAAUUCACCUAGAAAUGCAUUUUAGGGCUUCUUGUCCUAAAAGAAAGGGCUUGGUGGCCUCUUACUGCAGGAGGACAGCUUGGCCAUGGCCAUGCUUUGUGCAGGAGGGAUGUGAACAAUGAAGCCGAGCCCAUCCCUGCACACGUGCUGCUGGGUUUAGCAGCCUGGUGCCGUCCAGAGAAUGCAGCUCUGCUCUUCAGGUGGGUUUUAAUCCAUGGGAUGUGGUUAUUUCCUGAACUCUUGGCCGGGACAGUUGCUUCUCCAAAAAACAAUUGCAGCUUCAAGGGAAAUGUGUUUGCAAAAGGAAGGAAGAUUUGAGGUAGGUGCAGCAAAGCUGAAGGAGGGAUACACGGUUUGAAUAUGGGAUGAGGGAAAAAGGGAUUUCCACCUGUUUGUGUGUGAUUUUCUCCUAUGAGACGGAUGAAAUGGGACUGCAAAGCCACGCAUCUGAGCCGGAGAUGAAAGAGCACCAGUGCCAGGGCUCAGGUUGUGCAACACGCAGCUGCUCGAAGGCAUUUUGUCACUUUGUGCUCAGGGGGUUCAGUGCUUGUUGUCUGCCCGGGGCAGCUGUGUCCUCAUCCCAUCAUCUCAACAGAGAGAGAAAAACUCAUUUCUCCCCCUCUCUUCCCAGCAGCAAGCACAGCUCCGAGCACAGGCAGCAGUGGUGGGGACCAAGUCCAUACCUGGCUCGGAGCAGAUGAUUUUUCUUUUUUUCUGCUGUGGUUUCAUUCCUCUGAGGUCCCUGUCGCGGCUGGUCCCCAGAGGCUGCCCCUUCUCCAGCACUAACGUGGACCCAUCCCUGGGAGGAGAGACAGGUGUGUGGUGAUGGGUACCCCUCUAAACCUCCCACCUCUGCUUCUCAGCAUCCUGCCUCGAGACGGGGCGGUGCAUGUAGGCAUGAGAUAAAUCAGUGCCGCAGAAGCUUGGAGACCAGUGAUUUAGGAUGCCGGUGCACAUCCCUUUCUGAUCGUGACCCUGUGAAGGCAGUCCAUGCCUGCGGUGGGGGAGGAGGGACAGGACCGUUUGAAGUCCAAACCACCCGCCUCUUCUUUUCAGCCCUUUCAGCCAGGGCUGAGCUUGAUUGAAUUAGCAUUCCCCAGCUGGAAGCGGGGUGAGGGCAAGCUGGCCACCCGGCUCGGUGGUCCUGUGGUGCAGGUUGUCUGCCAUAGCCCCCCCAGCACCCGUGGAAAGCAGCACCGUGGAGCAUGCCCACCCUGGAGGGGUUGGCUGUGGGCUUUGGUCCUUCAAUUAUUUUCUUUAACCCAACCCAGUCAAAGAGUUAAAAAAACCCCUGUGAGUAGGGAAGAUGAGGAUGAAUGGGUCCUUAGAUGGGGAAAGGUGGAAAUCGCUUGGAAAAAAGAAAAAAAUAUAUAUGUUUAUAUAUGUAUAUAUAUAUUAUAUACAUGAAUAUAUAUAUAAAAGACUGACCCAGCCCUGAACUUUUCUGGCAGGGAAGGUAAAUUCAUGAGGAAAUAUAGCACAGCCUGCAAUUCCUCAUUAUAUCAGUGGGAGCGACGUUACCGGGGCCAGUAAAUCUGCCAGAUGGCAACAGGGGGGAUUAGGUGGGAAGGUGGGACCCGCAGAAGGGUGUUGUGUCUCCCCUCCCCCAGCUCCUGCUCCACCCCCACCUUCUUCGUUAAGGAAUGUUAAUCAUCCUGGCUCGCAACGUGCUGUUGGAGGUUUGUUUAUAAUAAAAUCUUUAUGGUGCUUAGGA